AGUGAACGCUGGCGGCGUGCCUAAUACAUGCAAGUCGAACGAAGUGGCGCACGGGUGGGUAAUAUAUAGUUAAUCUGCCCUACACAGAGGAACAACAGUUGGAAACGACUGCUAAUACCUCAUAGUGUAGGAUGAGACUAUAUCGUAUCAGCUAGUUGGUAAGGUACUGGCUUACCAAGGCUAUGACGCGUAACUGGGCUGCGAGGAUGAGGAGUCACAUUGUAAAGGAGGCACGGGCCAAACUCCUUCGGGAAGGGGCAGUAAGGAAUACUGCGCAAUGGGGGAAACCCAGAAGCAGCAACGCCGCGUGGAGGAUGACAGUUUUCGGAGCGUAAACUCCUUUUAAAAGGAAAGCGGUACCUGAAGAAUAAGCACCGGCUAACUCCGUGCCAGCAGCCGCGGUAAUAA
rnacentral:rRNA from 1 species